ACAUGAAGCGUGCAUUGGUGUGUGUGCUGAUGGCUGCCUGGAGCCUCGAAUGUAGCAGCCAGACUGUGCACCAGCCAGCAGAGAAUGUGUACGCCAUGAAAGGCGACUCAGUUACGCUGGACUGCAGCUAUGAAGAUUCUGGAAGCAACGACUACAUCUUCUGGUACAAACAGGACGGGCAGGCGGCACCAAAGUUCAUCCUGAGCCUCUCCAUAAGGAGUCAGGGCAAGACUGAGAGCAGCUUUGAAAAGAGGUUCAGCUGCAGCAUCAACGAUACCGCCAAGCGAGCUCCUCUGAAGAUCCAAGACGUGCAGCUGAGCGACUCUGCAGUCUUCUACUGCGCCAUCCAGACCACAAUGACUGACAUCACUGCUGCACCCGCACAAAAACCUCUCUAGGCUCCUCAUCCCACUGUGGCAGUUUGAGAGCUGGUUCUGAGGAGGUUUUCACAGCUUUUGUCCUUGUCAGGAAAUCACGAGGGUGGCGAACUGGAGAUGUUUUUUAUUUACAUACCUUAUAUUCCAGACCGUGUCUCUAACACGGCAGUAAACAGCUGAUAAAACACAACAGAAGUCAUCGUCAUGAACCCACUAGCUGCAGAAGUUAGCUCUCCAUCAGCUUAACAGACUCAAUCAGUCCACGGUGGUGUUUUAGUGAAUUUAUUGAGGAAUUUGUGAAACUGAAACAAUGCAAAUAGGAUGCCACUGUAAGUUAAUAACACUAACACAAACACCUGUAAAUGUGUAGGCAUACUAGCUAAUGCUAACAACGCUAGAUUCAUUACAUUACGUAUGAAUAAGCAUGAAAACACUUCUACAGACAUCACACGUGGGACGGUUCAAAAAGUAAGAAUUGUUUCAGUUAAACUGUC